rnacentral:lncRNA from 1 species
CUUAAUCAAAACAAAUAGAAUUCAAAUUUAGCAGAAAAUUUAAUUUUUCGUUUUUCAAUAAGCUUCGAGAAAUGAGAUUAAAAUUUUCUAUUUUUAGAAGACUAUGAAGAAUGGACCUCAUUUAAGAAAUCCUUCGUCUCUUGGGAAUUCCUUUAAAGAACAUUAAGCAGUAUGCUUUUGAUGAAGCUAUAUGCUUGACUUAUUCUGAAGCUUUGUGUGAUUUUUGGAAAAAUUUGUUUAAGCUAAAUGAAAGAAGAAAAGAAAACAACAUAAUUGUUCAUUCUAAUCCAGUUAACAAAGUGGUUUGAUAUUUUGGAAAGGAAACUGACAGAAUGGUCUUGGUAAAGCUUUAGAAGAACUUGAGAAUACAGAUUUGAAGAAUUGAAUACAAAAAAUAGGGAAUGGACAGCAGGUGAAUGUAUACCAGAAUUUUUUCCGAUCCUCUGAUUUUUAAUUCUAUUCACUCAGACUUAAAUGAUCUUGGCAUUCCAUGGUGUGAUAGUCCAGAAGAUUUUGUGGCAAAGCAUAGAAAUGCUUUAGAAAGUUCUCAUGUAUCUGAGCCGCUUCAUCACUGGAUGGAUUUAACUUUUGGUUGUAUAGUGUCUGACACAAAAGAGAGAGGUGAUGAGGAAGGACAAGUCCAGCUUUUUUAAAACAUUUAGUGAUUUUGAUAUGGUUUUUUAUCAGUGGCAUGAAAAAAACCAUAAUGUAAGUAAGAAUACACAAAAACUUAAAGAACCUGACUGGUGUGAAAAUGAAUUUGACAAGAUUGUUAUCCCCGAAGAAUGCAUAAAAGAAUUUUAUGAAAAAAACAAAGGGCUAGUGAAAUAUAGCCUGAGCAAUUUCAAGAAGAUUUGUUCCUGACACUGCUGCUCCUACUCCAUCACUUACAGCUAAAGAAUGGCUGAAUGGAAAAAACAGAAAUCCUAUUCUGAUAUCCAUUUAUGUAGGUAUGAUAUUAACUAUGAGUGCCUGUCUUUGUUGUAUUCUGCCUAUUUACUCAGCUUUUUCUUCAGACUUCCCCUUUUCAACAGACUAGACUGAUUGGUUGUGAAAGCAAAGAAAUUUCAGAAAAAUAUUCUUUUCAGAAGAGUGAAAAUGAAAACAAGGACAUAAAAUGUUUGAAAGGACUGCAUGAGAAUAAUAGUGAGGUUCAAGACGCAAGAAAUCCUGGGUUUGCAUCCAGCAUAAUAGAAAUAAUUCUAGCAAAGGAAUGCCUAUUGAGAAAUCAACUGUUAUUAUUCAGCAAGGUUGGAAACAAUAUUUAAUGAAAGUGAAGUUUUUGAAGAUGCAGGCAAUUAUUUAAAGGACAUUUAAAACCAUAGAUAAACGAAUUGAAGCCGAAAAGCAGUGGUGUAUAAAACUUCAGUCAUUUUUUGAACAAUGGUGUCCUGAAAGCGCCAAGGUCAAACAAAAGAUGUUAUGCCCUAGUAGUUAUGAUUCUUUGAAGGAAGCUCUAGUUAGUGUAUACAAAUAUGUCCAAGCUUGCGACUUUGAAGAGGCCAGUCAAGAAGCAAUUGAGGAUCAUUUCAGAAAAGGUAAAUAGGACACUUGCUUGUGUAUCAGCGAUCUUUAUGGUACCGGAGGAGCAACUUAUGAAGUGUCUUCUCAGCACUUUAAAAUGAUCCCUCUUCCAUUGCUUCUGUUUAUUUUUUUCAAAAAAUGAUGCCAGACUGGGAUGCUCAGUGUAAACAUCUUAAAAUUACAGAAAUAUCUGGGUAGAGCAUCUUUAUAUUUGCUUUUUAUGCUGAUUAAUAUUUAAAUGUGAAACAUGUAGAGAAGUUUUUUUUUAUAUACCUAUAUAUCAUUUUCUUAAUUGUAAUUGGCAGUCAUAAGGAAAUCGCAUGAUUCUGCAACUGUUUUGAAAAGGAAAAAUUAUAUAAAUGUUUGUAUCGCUCAACAUGUGAUUUUUUUUUUUUAAUUCCAUGAUUGAAAGGGAUUAGUCAAUCUGUUAUUUAACUUGGUACCAUUGAUGUGCAAACACUUCCAGUGUCUCUUAAGUAAUUUAUGUCAUAUCGUUUACUUGUGUUUUUCAUAUGACUGUAUUUGUAUGUAAGCACCAAAAAACAAAAUAAAAUAAUUUUAUUUUUUUCAAUGAAA